rnacentral:misc_RNA from 1 species
AUCGCUGGUUGACAUCGUUAUUCGAUUCGCUCGGUUUAUUUCGUUCCUUUUUUUACAUUCGAUUUUAGCACCAGUUUUUCUUUUUUUUUAAAUUCUGGCAAUUAGUUAAUAGAAUGUGAUUUAAUCAUAGAAUAGGUCCAUUUAUUUUGCUUAAAGUCGAAAUAAUUUCAAUCGUUCGAGUAGUUUUGUGUUUUUCAAGUAUCUCCAAGCAGUUCAAGUACUUUUCAAUCGUUCAAGU